rnacentral:rRNA from 1 species
CCUACGUGAGGCUGCAGUGGGGAAUAUUGCGCAAUGGGCGAAAGCCUGACGCAGCGACGCCGCGUGAGGGAUGAAGGUCUUCGGAUCGUAAACCUCUGUCAGCAGGGAAGAACGGUCACUGUGCUAAUCGGCAGUGAAUUGACGGUACCUGCAAAGGAAGCACCGGCUAACUCCGUGCGCGCAGCCGCGGUAAUACGGAGGGUGCGAGCGUUAAUCGGAAUUACUGGGCGUAAAGCGCUCGUAGGCGGUAUGUCAAGUCAAGGGUGAAAUCCCCGCGCUCAACGUGGGAACUGCCUUUGAAACUGGCAAACUGGAGUGUGUGAGAGGAUAGUGGAAUUCCAGGUGUAGGAGUGAAAUCCGUAGAUAUCUGGAGGAACAUCAGUGGCGAAGGCGACUAUCUGGCACAUAACUGACGCUGAGGAGCGAAAGCGUGGGUAGCAAACAGGAUUAGAUACCCUGGUAGUC